rnacentral:rRNA from 1 species
AAUGGCUUUAGUGGCGGACUGGUGAGUAACACGUGAGCAACCUGCCUAUCAGAGGGGAAUAACAGACGGAAACGACUGCUAAUACCGAAUAAGUUCCAAGAGCCGCAUGGCCCAUGGAAGAAAAGGUGGCCUCUACCUGUAAGCUAUCGCCUGAAGAGGGGUUUGCGUCUGAUUAGCUGGUUGGAGGGGUAACGGCCCACCAAGGCGACGAUCAGUAGCCGGUCUGAGAGGAUGAACGGCCACACUGGAACUGAGACACGGUCCAGACUCC